GCACCCGUAGCUCAGAUGGAUAGAGCGUCUGUUUGCGGUACAGAAGGUCAGGGGUUCGACCCCCUUCGGGUGCACCA
rnacentral:tRNA from 1 species